rnacentral:misc_RNA from 1 species
GAAAUGCGAUACUUGGUGUGAAUUGCAGAAUCCCGUGAACCAUCGAGUCUUUGAACGCAAGUUGCGCCCGAAGCCAUUAGGCCGAGGGCACACCUGCCUGGAAUGUCGAU